UUUGAUGUAAAUAUAUAUUUAUUUCCUCAAUGCAAUACAACAGAUAUAUAAACAAAAGUUGUUAAAUUCAAAGACAACCAUUUUGUAUUCAUAACCAAGUAUAGUUUCGCACAAAUCUUACAAGGAAAAAUGGCAAUAUUUGGUAUUCAUAGUAAAGAUAGAAUAUAAUAUCUUAGAAUUAGAAGAAGAAAAUAGGCCCAACUACAUUCCAAACAAUAAAAACCUUUGAUACACUGAAGUAAAGACAAUUAGAAAAAUGUUACAAAAUAAAUGAAGAUCUGUUUAUUCUUCUUGUUUGUGGAAAUUACAAAUAUUUCAACUUGACCAUUCAAAAGCAAACAUCUAAUAAACAGAUACAAACAAAAAAGAUAAUACUCAGCAGCAUUCUCUGUAAAAACAACCAACAUAUACCCAACAUAUAGUUAGUAAACUAUCAGGAAAAAAUGCAACAGCAAAAAAGAAAAAAAAAGAUAUUGCACAUGGAAAUAAUACAUUGCUUAACCAUGCCUAAAGAUACACAUCAGCCUAUUGAAAGUUUAACCAGGCCUAAACAUACACAUCAGCCUAUUGAAAUUUGUUUGUUUAACCAGGCCUAACCAUAUUUUUAUAUAUCAGCCUAUUAAAAUAUUGUUUAACCAGGCCUAAACAUACACAUCAGCCUAUUGAAAGUUUGUUU